CUCUUCUUUCCCUCUGUAUACCGCGAGCGCCCGCAGCUAGCUGCUAGCCGCGCGCCCGCCGCUACCUGCCCGCCUCCAGCGCGCCCGCCGCGCGUGCCCCGCCGCCACCCCUCGCGGUGAUCUGUGUGGGCGACGUCCACAGCUACAUCACGAAGCUGGAGAGCCUCUGGUCCAACCUCUAGGCCGCACUCCCCGCCGACGCCUUGGCCACCGCGCUGGUCAUCUUCCUCGGCGACUACAACGACCGCGGCCCGCACACCCGCAGGGUCCUCAACUUCCUCCUCGCGCUCCCGACGCGCUACCCAGCGCAGCGCCAUGUCUUCCUCUGCGGCAACCACGACCUCGCCUUCACGGCGUUCGUUGGGGCGCCGCCGCCGCCGCCCAACGGCUCCCCGUUCUUCGGCCACCUGCGCAGCGCCAUCUCUCUUUCCUCCCUAUCUCGCUGCUCCCUCCCCUGCCGCCCUGCUUAUUUACGCCCAUUUCUUAAGAGAGGAUUUGAUGGCCUGUCAGAAUAAAAGAGCUCGAGGAAAUUGCGGCGGCCGGAAAUCCUGGUGAUGGUGCCACACAAACACGAGAAUCUGCUUCGUCCUCGGCGGAAUUGCCGUCGGGGUCGGGCGAUUCUUCGGAGGACAAGUGCCUCUGUUUCGUUGAGCUGGCUAGGUCCAUGGGGAUUAGUCAGGACACUCAUGAGUCGAUGGCAACAGAUGCAGCCAAUUACCUUUGCCACCAGCUUCAGCAUCUUCUUGGGCCUAUCUCUUCUGCGACGAGCCAAAGUGGCCCCUGGGAGGAGAGGUCGGUGAUGGUUAGGUUGACUCAGAAGCUGCAGAAAUCUAAGAGAAAUAAGUGGUGGCGGCAGAGGAGAAGGAAGCAUGUUGCAGAGCUUUUUCAGAAGGAGCGUGCGGAUUAUGAUAGAGUUGACCAGGAAGCUGAUGAAUGGAGGGCUAAGCAAAUAGCCAAGGACAUUGCAAAGCGGAGGGUGGAAAGCAUGCAGCAGAUUGCUAGAAAGAAAACAAAUGAGGAAAGAAAGCGCCUAGAAUCUGAGCAAAGCGCCGCCUGCCUGCAAGAAAAUUUCCGGCGCUCUGUGCGAGUUCUGCAGUUCCGGCGUUGCUCUUCUUUCCCGCGCCACCUGCCUGCAAGAAAGCGCCGGGGGCGUGCCGUCUUUUCCCCCUCCACGCUUCAGCAGCAGCGCAGUAAAUUUCGUCGGCGUGUUGGGCAGCAGCAGCAGUUGGCAGCCAACGUCCCGCUCCCCCGCCCGCUAUUACUUUCCCAGCUCCGCGACAAGCUAGGCGCGCGUCGUCGUGGUUGACUUGGAUUUGGAGAAUUAUGAGUGUUUCAUAGAUGUUACUCUGACGAGGGAUAACAAUAUUACCACUAGAAAUAUAUACUAGUCUGUCAUUGAGAAGGAGAGAAGGGGUGAUUAUAUUGGAAAGACUUUAUAGCUGUGCUACAAGGAGCUGCACCAUCCGAAAUGCGACGUCUGCCUUCAGUUUAUUCCAACGAACAGGAGUGGCCUGAUAGAGUACAGAUCCCACCCGUUCUAGGGCCAGAAGUAUUGCCCUUCGCAUGAGCACGACAGGACGCCACGUUGCUGCAGCUGUGAGAAAAUGGAGCCAAGGAACACAAAGUACAUGUCACUGGGAGACGACCGCAGCCUGUGCAUGGAAUGCCUGGGGUCUGCGGUCAUGGACACCGGUGAAUGCCAGCCCCUGUACCAUUCUAUCAGGGACUACUACGAGGGGAUGAAAAUGAAGCUGGACCAGCAGAUACCCAUGCUCUUGGUUGAGCAGCAAGCGCUUAACGAAGCCAUGGAAGGAGAGAGUAGAGGCCCACACCACAUGCCUGAGACAAGGGGCCUGUGUCUGUCGGAGGAGCAGACUGUGAGCAGUAUACUUAGGAGGCCCAGGAUUGGUGGAAACCGGUUACUGGACAUGAGAACUCAGCCACAAAAACUGACUAGGAGAUGUGAAUUGAGGUGUCCCAGUGGGUCAAGGCUAUGAUUUGACCGAAACUUGUGCUGGAGCAGCUUUCACUGAAUGGGAUGACACCACUUGCUGCUAUGUGAAGCUUGUUUCAUGGGAAGAAGGUGGUUACAAGAUUUCUGAUUAUCCGAUGCCGAGAGGAGAGGUAGUGGUUGGCGGACACAGUACAACAAAAGGCUAUAGGACUAACUGUAUUGAUUCCGGCUCCCAUCAAGUGACUCCUUCCCCUCACGUUGACUUUGCGGACAGAUGUCUCAAUUCUAGUGGUAGAGCUACGAACAACAAUCUGAUGUCCUGAUCGAGAGUUGAACUUGUGUAUUUGAACUUGUGAACUAUGGAUGUGAACUUGUGUGAAUUUGUGAACUUAUGUAUUUGGAAUUAUGUGAAUUUGCGAACUUAUA